rnacentral:precursor_RNA from 15 species
AUAUACCAAUAUAAAGGUUGCAAUUAGUUUCUUUGGUCGUCCAGCCUUAGGUGACUUCUCUGAUCAUAAAGCUAGACAACCAUUGAAGUUCGUUGUGGCAAUUGCGGCGCUUAUUAA